AGCAUAGAGCCUUAACAGGAGCUCCCAGUCAGAACCUGAAGCCAGCCGUGGUCAAGAUCUAUGACUACUACCAGACAAGUGACCAGGCGUGAGACAGAAUACACUUUCCCUUGUGUUGCAGCUUGAAGAGUGAUGAGUGUUCGUCCUCACGUCGUUACUGAUUCCAGUAUAUUUUAAAAUUAAUUAAUUAAAGACACUUGUAUGUAACUUGUGAAUUUCCAUGUCUCUUCUGUAAACAUG